GACGAACGCUGGCGGCGUGCCUAAUACAUGCAAGUCGAGCGAACUUGCGGGAGCUUGCUCCCAAAAGUUAGCGGCGGACGGGUGAGUAACACGUGGGCAACCUGCCUGUAAGACUGGGAUAACUUCGGGAAACCGGAGCUAAUACCGGAUAAUUCUUUUCUGCUCAUGCAGGAAAGCUGAAAGAUGGUUUCGGCUAUCACUUACAGAUGGGCCCGCGGCGCAUUAGCUAGUUGGUGAGGUAACGGCUCACCAAGGCAACGAUGCGUAGCCGACCUGAGAGGGUGAUCGGCCACACUGGGACUGAGACACGGCCCAGACUCCUACGGGAGGCAGCAGUAGGGAAUCUUCCGCAAUGGACGAAAGUCUGACGGAGCAACGCCGCGUGAGUGAUGAAGGUUUUCGGAUCGUAAAACUCUGUUGUUAGGGAAGAACAAGUACCGGAGUAACUGCCGGUACCUUGACGGUACCUAACCAGAAAGCCACGGCUAACUACGUGCCAGCAGCCGCGGUAAUACGUAGGUGGCAAGCGUUGUCCGGAAUUAUUGGGCGUAAAGCGCGCGCAGGUGGUUCUUUAAGUCUGAUGUGAAAGCCCCCGGCUCAACCGGGGAGGGUCAUUGGAAACUGGGGAACUUGAGUGCAGAAGAGGAAAGUGGAAUUCCACGUGUAGCGGUGAAAUGCGUAGAGAUGUGGAGGAACACCAGUGGCGAAGGCGACUUUCUGGUCUGUAACUGACACUGAGGCGCGAAAGCGUGGGGAGCGAACAGGAUUAGAUACCCUGGUAGUCCACGCCGUAAACGAUGAGUGCUAAGUGUUAGAGGGUUUCCGCCCUUUAGUGCUGCAGCUAACGCAUUAAGCACUCCGCCUGGGGAGUACGGCCGCAAGGCUGAAACUCAAAGGAAUUGACGGGGGCUCGCACAAGCGGUGGAGCAUGUGGUUUAAUUCGAAGCAACGCGAAGAACCUUACCAGGUCUUGACAUCCUCUGACACUCCUAGAGAUAGGACGUUCCCCUUCGGGGGACAGAGUGACAGGUGGUGCAUGGUUGUCGUCAGCUCGUGUCGUGAGAUGUUGGGUUAAGUCCCGCAACGGGCGCAACCCUUGAUCUUAGUUGCCAGCAUUCAGUUGGGCACUCUAAGGUGACUGCCGGUGACAAACCGGAGGAAGGUGGGGAUGACGUCAAAUCAUCAUGCCCCUUAUGACCUGGGCUACACACGUGCUACAAUGGAUGGUACAAAGGGCUGCAAGACCGCGAGGUUUAGCCAAUCCCAUAAAACCAUUCUCAGUUCGGAUUGCAGGCUGCAACUCGCCUGCAUGAAGCCGGAAUCGCUAGUAAUCGCGGAUCAGCAUGCCGCGGUGAAUACGUUCCCGGGCCU
rnacentral:rRNA from 1 species